rnacentral:lncRNA from 1 species
GGCUGGCUGCGGGCUGGGCAGAGAAAGAGGCUUUGAGACUCCCGAGCAACUUUAUAAUGCAGGAGAAAAGUUAGCCUUUUAAAUGAGGUUAAGUACCCCGAGAGUGAUGGUAAAUAGAACAGGCAGCUCUUUAAGUGGAAAUAAAGUGCUUUCAGUACCGUCAUAAAGCUGCAAAACGCAGCUUAGCUGGGAGAAGUGGAUUUCACGUGGGAGAGAGAGCAAAUUAGAAUGCAGGCUCAAGAGCGAUUUAAGAGGGGCCCUUCAACCACGGAAAGAAAGGGAGAGGGAGAAGGGAGGAGAAAGAGAGAGUCUGAUUGAUUGAUUAUGGCCAACUGUGAGAAGCAGAAUUCCACACUGAGGUCUGGCAGCACCCUAACAGGCACUUCUGCUCUCCCCCCACGAUGUGCCCACCCCACCUCUUGCAGCCGAGCAAUGCAACCUCAAUAGGAAAACAAUCUGACUUCAGUGCAAUUUCACUCCUAAGGAUUUUCCACAUAUUUAAAGAUGCUUUGCAUAUUUUUUUUCUAAAAUCCCCCAUGAGACUCUACAGUAUGUUCCUGAAUUCUUUUUAACCUCUUAACUUGUCAAAAGAGCAUUUCAAACCCUAGAUCUCAGGGGUCCCUGCCAGGCAUUUUCAAGUUUGAUUUUUGUGGGGAGGACAUCAACAAGUUAAAACCUAAAUGAGCAACAAACGAGGUGACGUGCGUUAUCAGUUUUGUCUUCCAUGUCUUCCUCAUCCUGCUGUUUGCUCCACGGCUCUUGACAGGAUGGAGACGAGGAAAGAACUUCCACAUCCACAUUCAAAACGUCUGCCAGAACUCCCUCAGGAUUUUUAUGUGUAUGGUCAUUUCAAGUGAAUUUUGUAUACAGAGCAAGGCGAUUACUUUAAAACAUGAAAGAAAUUGCACCUUUUCCUUAAGGGCAAGAUGGUGCUGUGGGCUUUCCUCUCUCCUGAUGAGAUGAUGCAAAUGGACUCCAUAGAGAAACGCUGCCCGUGUAACAAUGCAGUUACGCAACCCGGUGCAUGACACAUGAAUUGCAGCGCACCUGAGAUCCUGAUGAAAUCCUGGGAGCCUGGAGCUGUCAAACAUGGUUUUAAAAAAUAAAGGGAAUACACCCAGCCCACACCCUGACUUUACAACCUUUAAUUAAUUAGAGGAAAGAAAGAGAGAUUUGUCUGGUUUCAUGACUUCAACUUUCCACCUGGAAUAUGAAGCUCCUGCUCUUCCCACCUCCUUUUCUUCUCUCUCUCUCUCUCAGGUUUUUAAAUUUCUAUUUCCAGUUCUGCCACCAAAAAUAGAUUGCAAAUAUAUUCUGCAUAAUUCCGAGGCUACACUAUAAAUGUUGGAGUGCUACUACUUGUAUAAUAGUCACAAAUGAACGCACGAGUGGGCAC